UCCUGUGUAGCACACGCCGGUCAUGGGUUACCGUGUGCGCCACAACGUAAGAAGGUGCCCGUCGGGGGAAGCCGGUGUGAAUCCGGCGCUGACCCGCAACCGUGAACGGCCGUACGCCGUGAGCCGGACUGCCCGCCGGACACCGCCAACCCCA
rnacentral:ncRNA from 2 species